UACGUAGGGGGCAAGCGUUGUCCGGAUUUAUUGGGCGUAAAGAGCGUGUAGGCGGCCAGACAGGUCCGUUGUGAAAACUCGAGGCUCAACCUCGAGAUGUCGAUGGAAACUGUCUGGCUAGAGUCCGGAAGAGGAGUGUGGAAUUCCUGGUGUAGCGGUGAAAUGCGCAGAUAUCAGGAAGAACACCUAUGGCGAAGGCAGCACUCUGGGACGGUACUGACGCUGAGACGCGAAAGCGUGGGGAGCGAACAGG
rnacentral:rRNA from 1 species